GACGAACGCUGGCGGCAUGCCUAACACAUGCAAGUCGAACGAGACCUUCGGGUCUAGUGGCGCACGGGUGCGUAACGCGUGGGAACCUGCCUUUAGGUUCGGAAUAACACAGAGAACUUUGAGAUAAUACCGGAUAAUGUCUUCGGACCAAAGAUUUAUCGCCUUUAGAUGGGCCCGAGUUGGAUUAGCUAGUUGGUGGGGUAAGGGCCUACCAAGGCGACGAUCCAUAGCUGGUCUGAGAGGAUGAUCAGCCACACUGGGACUGAGACACGGCCCAGACUCCUACGGGAGGCAGCAGUGGGGAAUAUUGGACAAUGGGCGAAAGCCUGAUCCAGCAAUGCCGCGUGAGUGAUGAAGGCCUUAGGGUUGUAAAGCUCUUUUACCCGAGAUGAUAAUGACAGUAUCGGGAGAAUAAGCUCCGGCUAACUCCGUGCCAGCCGCCGCCGUAA
rnacentral:rRNA from 1 species